AGUAAAAGUCGUAACAAGGUUUCCGUAGGUGAACCUGCGGAAGGAUCAUUAUUGAUAAUGAAAAUGGGUUGCGCUGGCUUCUCCGGAGGCAUGUGCUCGCCUGACUUCAAUAUCUCCCAUACACCUGUGCACUUGCUGUAGGCCUUUGGCCUAUGUAUUCCAUAUACUCUUGUAUGUCUUAGAAUGUAAUACCUAGAUUAUUGCCGUAAAAAAGCAAUAUGAAUAUACAACUUUCAACAACGGAUCUCUUGGCUCUCGCAUCGAUGAAGAACGCAGCGAAAUGCGAUAAGUAAUGUGAAUUGCAGAUUUUCAGUGAAUCAUCGAAUCUUUGAACGCACCUUGCGCUCUUUGGUAUUCCGAAGAGCAUGCCUGUUUGAGUGUCAUUAAAUUCUCAACUCUACUAGAUUUGAUUCUAGUCUUAGAGCUUGGAUUUGGAGUGUGCUGAUGACUUUUUAUAAAAGACAUUGGCUCCUUCUCAAAUGUAUUAGCGGAACCCUUUGCAUCUGCAGAAACGGUGUGAUAAUUGUUACGCCGCGUUAAGCAUUUGUGGGAUCAGCUUCUAACCGUCCUCCCUGGGACAAACUACUUUGAACCUUUUGACCUCAAAUCAGGUAGGACUACCCGCUGAACUUAAGCAUAUCAAUAAGCGGAGGA
rnacentral:rRNA from 1 species